rnacentral:rRNA from 1 species
UCUGGCGUCCAUAGCGGCGGGGUCCCACCCGUUCCCAUCCCGAACACGGCAGUUAAGCCCGCCUGCGCCAAUGAUAGUCGGACCGCAGGGUCCCUCGAAAGUAGGUCGGCGCCAGAU